rnacentral:rRNA from 1 species
UACGAAGGGGGCUAGCGUUGUUCGGAAUUACUGGGCGUAAAGGGCGCGUAGGCGGCGUGUCAAGUCAGGCGUGAAAGCCCCGGGCUCAACCUGGGAACCGCGCUUGAGACUGGCAUGCUCGAGUUCGGGAGAGGAUGGUGGAAUUCCCAGUGUAGAGGUGAAAUUCGUAGAUAUCUGGAGGAACACCGGUGGCGAAGGCGGCAUCCUGGACCGAUAUUGACGCUGAUGCGCGAAAGCCAGGGGAGCAAAGCAGG